ACGGCUCAGUAACACGUGGCUAACCUGCCCUUGGGAUGGGAACAACCCCGGGAAACUGGGGCUAAUCCCCGAUAGAUGAAGAACUCUGGAAUGAGUCUUUGUCCAAAAGGUGUCGGAUCAUGCUUUCGGCAUCGCCCAAGGAUGGGGCCGCGACCGAUCAGGUUGUUGGUGAGGUAAUGGCCCACCAAGCCUAUAACCGGUGCGGGCCGUGAGAGCGGGAGCCCGGAGAUGGGCACUGAGACAAGGGCCCAGGUCCUACGGGGCGCAGCAGUCGCGAAAACUUUGCAAUACACGAAAGUGUGACAGGGUCAUCCCGAGUGCCGACCGCUGAGGUUGGCUUUUACCCAGUCUAGAAAGCUGGGGGAAUAAGGAGAGGGCAAGUCUGGUGUCAGCCGCCGCGGUAAUACCAGCUCUCCGAGUGGUGUGGACGUUUAUUGGGCCUAAAGCAUCCGUAGCUGGCUGAACAAGUCCCCUGUUAAACCCACCGAUUUAAUCGUUGGUCUGCGGGGGAUACUGCUCGGCUAGGGGACGAGAGAGGCAGACGGUAUUCCCGGGGUAGGGGUGAAAUCCUAUAAUCCCGAGAAGACCACCAGUGGCGAAGGCUGUCUGCUAGAACGCGCCCGACGGUGAGGGAUGAAAGCUGGGGGAGCGAACCGGAUUAGAUACCCGGGUAGUCCCAGCUGUAAACGAUGCAGACUAGGUGUUUGGACGGCCACGUGCCGUUCUAGUGCCGCAGGGAAGCUGUUAAGUCUGCCGCCUGGGGAGUACGAUCGCAAGAUUGAAACUUAAGGAAUUGGCGGGGGAG
rnacentral:rRNA from 1 species